rnacentral:rRNA from 1 species
UUCUAUGGCCAGACUACCCUGAACUUGAUCUUAUUUGAUCUCAGAAGCUGAUCGGGGCAGGACCUGGUUAGAACUCAGAUGGGAGAGUCACUGCCCUGAAGAAA